CGUAGCCUACGGGGCGCAGCAGUGAGGAAUAUUGGUCAAUGGGCGGGAGCCUGAACCAGCCAAGUCGCGUGAGGGAAGACGGUCCUAUGGAUUGUAAACCUCUUUAGGCGGGGAGCAAUGCCGGGCACGCGUGCCCGGAGGGAGAGUACCCGCAGAAUAAGCAUCGGCUAACUCCGUGCCAGCAGCCGCGGUAAUACGGAGGAUGCGAGCGUUAUCCGGAUUUAUUGGGUUUAAAGGGUGCGUAGGCGGGAUGCCAAGUCAGCGGUAAAAAUGCGGUGCUCAACGCCGUCGGGCCGUUGAAACUG
rnacentral:rRNA from 1 species